CAGCACCGGCCUUUCCCCGCCGCCGCCCGGCCCGGCUCCGCUCGCCUCAGCACGCGCCGCUCUCCGGCGCCAUGUUCUCCGCCCGCCUCCCCCCGCCGCCCGGCCAAUCCCUCCCGGCGCCCGCGGGGUCCCGUCCGCCCUCCGCGCCCGGGCCUGGCGGGACCCGUACCUGGGGGUGCCGGGAGCUGCCGCCUCUGCCGCCGGGAGGGCCGGGGCUGCGGCUGAGGAGGGGGCCGGGGGCCUCUGGGAGGAGGCGGAGGCGGUGGAGGGGGUGGGUGGCUGGGCGGGGAGCCGGGGCGACACUCGCCGCGGCGGGGGGGCCGCGCCCGGCGGAGGCGGACGGGGUUGCGGCGCGAAGGGCGGCCCCGGGCUGCACCCGCGGAGAGACCGUGUCGCGGCCCGCCCGCUUCCUGGUGGCCGCGCUCCGCGUCCCUGGCGGCCUCUGCCAAACAAAAGAGUUAUGA
rnacentral:lncRNA from 1 species